GGCGGACGGGUGAGUAACACGUGGGCAACCUGCCUGUAAGACUGGGAUAACUUCGGGAAACCGGAGCUAAUACCGGAUAAUCCUUUUCCUUUCAUGAGGAAAAGCUGAAAGUCGGUUUACGCUGACACUUACAGAUGGGCCCGCGGCGCAUUAGCUAGUUGGUGAGGUAACGGCUCACCAAGGCGACGAUGCGUAGCCGACCUGAGAGGGUGAUCGGCCACACUGGGACUGAGACACGGCCCAGACUCCUACGGGAGGCAGCAGUAGGGAAUCUUCCGCAAUGGACGAAAGUCUGACGGAGCAACGCCGCGUGAGCGAUGAAGGCCUUCGGGUCGUAAAGCUCUGUUGUUAGGGAAGAACAAGUAUCGGAGUAACUGCCGGUACCUUGACGGUACCUAACCAGAAAGCCACGGCUAACUACGUGCCAGCAGCCGCGGUAAUACGUAGGUGGCAAGCGUUGUCCGGAAUUAUUGGGCGUAAAGCGCGCGCAGGCGGUCCUUUAAGUCUGAUGUGAAAGCCCACGGCUCAACCGUGGAGGGUCAUUGGAAACUGGGGGACUUGAGUACAGAAGAGGAAAGCGGAAUUCCACGUGUAGCGGUGAAAUGCGUAGAGAUGUGGAGGAACACCAGUGGCGAAGGCGGCU
rnacentral:rRNA from 1 species